rnacentral:rRNA from 1 species
UACGGGGGGAGCAAGCGUUGUUCGGAUUUACUGGGCGUAAAGGGCGCGUAGGCGGCCACCGCAAGUCGGUUGUGAAAUCUCUGGGCUUAACCCAGAAAGGUCAACCGAUACUGCGGGGCUAGAGUGCAGAAGGGGCAACUGGAACUCUCGGUGUAGCGGUGAAAUGCGUAGAUAUCGAGAGGAACACCUGCGGCGAAGGCGGGUUGCUGGGCUGACACUGACGCUGAAGCGCGAAAGCUAGGGGAGCGAACGGG